rnacentral:rRNA from 1 species
GACGAACGCUGGCGGCGUGCCUAAUACAUGCAAGUCGAGCGGACGAAUCGAAAGCUUGCUUUUGAUUCGUUAGCGGCGGACGGGUGAGUAACACGUGGGCAACCUGCCCUGUAGACGGGGAUAACACCGAGAAAUCGGUGCUAAUACCGGAUAAUACGAAAUGUCGCAUGACGUUUCGUUGAAAGACGGCGCAAGCUGUCGCUACAGGAUGGGCCCGCGCCGCUUUAGCUAGUUGGUGAGGUAACGGCUCACCAAGGCGACGAUGCGUAGCCGACCUGAGAGGGUGAUCGGCCACACUGGGACUGAGACACGGCCCAGACUCCUACGGGAGGCAGCAGUAAGGAAUCUUCCGCAAUGGACGAAAGUCUGACGGAGCAACGCCGCGUGAGCGAAGAAGGCCUUCGGGUCGUAAAGCUCUGUUGUUAGGGAAGAACAAGUAACGCAGUAACUGGCGUUACCGUGACGGUACCUAACGAGAAAGCCACGGCUAACUACGUG